AUGCUCGCUUUGGCAGCACAUAUACUAAAAUUGGAAUGAUAUAAAGAUUAGCAUGGCCCCUGUGCAAGGAUGACACGCAAAUUCGUGAAGCAUUCCAUAUUUUU